rnacentral:rRNA from 1 species
AUUAAACUAGGGAUAGAUACCCUAUUAUUAAAAAUUAAUUUAAAAAUACUAAAAUAGUAUAUAAUUAUUUAUAAAAACUUAAAUAAUUUGGCGGUAUUUUAGUUCAUUUAGAGGAAUCUGUCUAAUAAUUGAUAAUCCACGAAUAAAUUUACUUAAUUAAUGAAUUUUGUAUAUCGUUGUUAAAAAAAUAUUUUUUUAUAAAAAUAAUAUUUUAAAAUUUAUUUUAAAAAUUAAUUCAGAUCAAGAUGCAGAUUAUAGUUAAGAAUAUGAUGGAUUACAAUAAGAAAAAAUUAAAUGAAUAAUAUUUUGUAAAAAAUAUUUGAAGGUGGAUUUAAAUGUAAUUUUAUUUAAUGUCUUGAUUACGUCUUGGGCCGGG